rnacentral:rRNA from 1 species
GACGAACGCUGGCGGCGUGCUUAACACAUGCAAGUCGAACGGAAAGGCCUGCUUUCCCUUGUGGAUUGCGGGUACUCGAGUGGCGAACGGGUGAGUAACACGUGAGUGAUCUGCCCCCAACUUGGGUAUAAGCCUGGGAAACUGGGUCUAAUUCCCGAUAGGACUGCAGGGUGGUGCCUGUGGUGGAAAACGAUUUUCUAGUGGUUGGGGAUGAGCUCGCGGCCUAUCAGCUUGUUGGUGGGGUAAUGGCCUACCAAGGCGGCGACGGGUAGCCGGCCUGGGAGGGUGGACGGCCACAUUGGGACUGAGAUACGGCCCAGAAUCCGACGGGAGGCAGCAGUGGGGAAUAUUGCACAAUGGGCGGAAGCCUGAUGCAGCGACGCCGCGUGGGGGAUGACGGCCUUCGGGUGGUAAACUCCUUUCGACCGCGAGGAAGCCACCUGGUUGGAAGGGUGGUGACGGUAGUGGUAGAAGAAGCACCGGCUAACUACGUG